GAGAAUGUUGAUGUUACAGCAAUUGCUGGGAGUGGUUGAAAUACUUCAAUUGAUGACCAAUUGUCAUCAUUUAUAGAAGAGAAACCAGCUGGAAAAGCAUGAAGAUGAAUUUUGCAUUUUAAACUAGCUAGAGAUGUCAAGCGAGAAGAGCAAACUUGGUGAUCAAAUUUCGCAGCUAAUUAGACACAUUAAUUGGAGCAAUAUGAUAAGUAAACGGGCACGGUACUUCGGAUGGGUUUCCAGAUAUGCUCUAUCUCUCCAAAGCGGUAAUUGAGGAAGGUAAGGCCUGGAUUACUCGGGUCGGCAUCUCUCAAAAGUGGAACAAUCUUGAUGUCAUGGAGAUCAAUGAUGUGACCACCUUGGAUUUGCAUGCUCUACCAUAAUGGUGAUUAACUAUGUAUGGUUGUUCCUAAGAACUUGAUUUGCUUUGAUGAAAAUUAUUCCCUUCACAAUUUCAUCGUUGAUGCCGAAGAGAAACUUCCAUCCCUGUAGGAAUCAACUCUUCUUAAAGUGGGAUACCGAUAUGAAGGUUCUCGGUAGAGGUUCCAGGGAAACCCCUCACCGCAAGUUUAAGCUAACAAUUCAGAAAUUUGUUUAUUAGAUUCUGAGGAAAAGGGUUGCUAUAUGUUAUUGCUAGGCUACAGUUUAUGUUGUUGCUAUUUGAAGGUCCAAAGGAAGAAUCCACUCAUCGAGACGGGGUUAUUCGGAACAUCACACGUUGAUCAACUAAUAUUCAUCUGCUUCUCACGUUCCACUAAUAUGAUAUGCCUAACCCACUAUAUCACUCAAAAUUAGCACAACAUCAUCAAGGAAAGUUACUAUAGAUUCAAUAGAAAUGGUCAGUCUAAAAGCACAAAAUUGGUACUUGAUUGCUAAUGGAUAACAAGGAGGUUGACAACGAAGAACAAAUAUAAUUGGAAUAAGAACAAGCAAAAUGAAAAACAUGAAUAUGGUGGGCAGAUCUUGGUCUUAAUGUAGAGGGCCGUCUCUACUUUCUGGAUCUCGAUGAUAAGCAUCCUCCGCAUUUUGAGCAAAAACAUUUCUGCCGCUAGAAAUCUGAUUUGGUAACACAAAUGCCAAGACAUGAUAUAUAGAGCGGUUCUUCAAUGAUGCAAACCUGGUACGCUGUCCUCAAAACUUCAACUUAGAAUUGUAUUUAUAUAUGUGGAUAGAUAGACUGGUAGGGAGGACUAAUGUUUAUUAUUCUUUUUGCAAGGAAGGUAUAUCUUCUUUGACGGCUUCUGUGAUUUGGCUACUGUAAUAGUAUAAAAACAGUUCCACCGACUAUUUCUUUGUCAUGAUUCUCUAUAAGACUCUAGGUAAGGCAAAUAGUGGAAUAGAUUCAAAAUAUCAUGCAUAUCGAUCUUCACCAUCUUAUUAUUAAGAGUUUUUGCAACAUUUGUUUCUAGGCACAUAUACCCUGUAAGCAUUGUGGACACUAUUAGAAUUUAUGGCACUGGACAUUCCAUGCAUUAUUAUCGUAAAAAAAGAACAUGGGACUUAAAGAUUUGG